rnacentral:lncRNA from 1 species
GGCUUUUUUUUUCCUUGCUUUUUUUUUUUUUUUUUUCUCUUCUCCCACCCCCUUCUCUCUGCUGAUCCCCGCGACCUGCGUUUUCCUGGGGGUCCGGAACUCUGGACCCAAAGCGUCGGCCACCCCCUCAGGACAACUCGUAUCUCAUCAGAGCACUCCCUUGCCCAUGUCCACCCAUAAGCAGAUGGCCUCCCGCACCCCCCCCAACCCUGGAGGAUUUCUUAAUGGGGUGAAAAUGCCAGUCCCCGAAGCCAGGGCUCCCGGACCCCCAGGGCCGAGCUGGGCGCGGGAGCCCCGCAGGGGCGGAGAGGCCGGCUGAGGUAGGUGGAGGAACUAUUUCUUGACGUAAUCCGUCUCUGUCGCCCCGACGCUCCCGCAGUCUCUGCGCGAGCCGAGAUCAGCGAUUGUCAGUUCGGAACGUGGCUUUUAAAAAUGCGUUUUUAAAUAGUGUGUAUGUAUGUAUUUCUUUCAGGAGCAGCAGCAGCGAGGGAGGGAGGGUGGGAGGGGACUGGGGAGGCUGGGGUGGAGGGAGGGAAGGAGGGAAAGGGGAGCGUCCUUCUGCCACUGGCCAACUCAGCCCCCCAAAUCUGGGGUAGGGCAGCUUGGGGAAGGUGGUCCGCCUGUGGGAGGGGUAGGACCUCGGGACCUCAUACACCUUUAUCCUCAGAAGUCCUCUCUUUGCUUUGGCACAGAUAUGCAAGCUCCUUUAUUUUAAAUUUAUUGUCUCUAUCUAUUUAUCUUUCUUUGCCAGCUUGAAGAAGUGGAGGAGAGAUCAGCACAAGUUAAGUGGGGCGUCCCCAUCCUGUCUUCCUGCUCACCCUCCUUUGCCCCCAACUCCAUCUCUGCGACACCCUGCCCCCCCAAAAGAAGUCACUCCAGGGCUCUGUCUGCAGAGAGCCAGGGUGAGUGCGGGCAAGGCGAGAGAGAGAGCGACCUCGGUCGUGGGCAAGUAGCUUGUUUUUACGUCCUUCAAUAAAAUUUUUAUGAGGAUCA